GGCUCCCAAUGGCUUCAGUUUAAUACUCUAUCACGUGACCUUAUUAGGGGCUGUGAUUGGUCAGUUUGCGUUCUGGCGGGAAAGGUUCGAAGAAGUUGCCGAUUCGAAUAAUAAUCAGUCACGUGAUGACAAGGAAUGGGUUCUCUACUACGCUCGCAUUUAUUUAUAUUUAAAUGAGAAGAUUGUAUGUAAUGGCGAUAGUAGUUUGUAUCUAAUGGCGGGAGGUAGUUUCACUACAGUCUGGUAGUGAGGUUCACAAAGUAUCCGAUCUUAGUUUUUCCCGCCAAAACUAAUACCGUGUAUGCAAAAUCGUUUGGCAGGAGGUGACCCUUCUUGCGCAUGCGUAAAAAAUUUUGCGCCAUAAGGCCUCGUUAGUUACCAGUUGUUACACCUAGAGUACAAACGUUUAGUGUACGCUCGUCGGAUUUUCGUUUCAACGAAACGCAUCGAAUUUUGCCAAAAGCUUGAUGGUACUCAAGCUCAAACCAUCUAGAAAAUUGAGAAAAACACAGAUCAUUGUGUGGCACAAUCACUUCAAACAUGGCUGCACCUCAGUAGAGAGCAAGACACGCCCAGGCAGGUCAUCCACAAGCCGAAACGAGGAGCCAAUUGUGAAAGUUUGACGAAUAGUCAUGGAAUACGGUCGUGUAGCAAUCCAUGAAAUUGCUCACGAAGUGGGAACAAACACAGAUUUUAACGGAGGAUUUCUGCAUGCGAUCAAUCAACAAGACGUAAGCAAAAACACAUUUACAUAUGUAGAACUUGUGAAACCUGUUAUAACAGUAAUAUUGUAGAGAUGAUACUGCAGAAUGGUGCUGAUGUUGGAAUGAAGACAACCGGUCUUGAAACACUUCCUUGUAUCAUCAGUCUGAAAUAUGGGGCUGAACUCAAUACAAAGACUAUGAAUGGUGAAGCAAUUCUAUCAUCCGGUUAUUCUAAUAGAUACAUCAUUGUGAUAUUUGCUACUCAUAUAAAUGAUGGUGAUGUUGGUGGUUGUGUCACGUGGAGCAGUUUUAAAGUAUUUUCUUAGGAAUUAAAAACGUUCCCCAGGAAAACAUUAAGUAAAACCAUUUCUGCAACACAGCAGAACAGUUUCAAAAUGUUGAACAAAAGUUUCUUUAAAAGAAAAUGUGUACCUGGAAAUCUAAGAACUCAAAUAAAUAUUUACCUUUUAAAUUAAAAAGUGAUUUUCAUUGAAA